GUAGGUGACAAGCGUUGUCCGGAAUUAUUGGGCGUAAAGCGCGCGCAGGCGGUUCUUUAAGUCUGAUGUGAAAGCCCACGGCUCAACCGUGGAGGGUCAUUGGAAACUGGAGAACUUGAGUACAGAAGAGGAAAGCGGAAUUCCACGUGUAGCGGUGAAAUGCGUAGAGAUGUGGAGGAACACCAGUGGCGAAGGCGGCUUUCUGGUCUGUAACUGACGCUGAGGCGCGAAAGCGUGGGGAGCAAACAGGGAUUAGAUACCCUGGUAGUCCACGCCGUAAACGAUGAGUGCUAAGUGUUAGGGGGUUUCCGCCCCCUUAGUGCUGCAGCUAACGCAUUAAGCACUCCGCCUGGGGAGUACGGCCGCAAGGCUG
rnacentral:rRNA from 1 species